UUAUUUGCUCCUAAAUUUUUCACUCUAUCAAUCUAAAAUUAAAAUAAUAUAUAACAAAAAUUAAAGAUGUAUAUAAAGAAAAUUUCCUAUUACACACCCCAGUACGCUCGACCACACACCACCAGUGGUACGCUCUGUCCACCACACACCACACACCACACACCACACACCACUAGUAGCUCCGACCACACACCACAGUAGCUCCGACCACACACCACCAGUACGCUCCGUCAUUACACCACAAACCACUAGUAGCUCCGACCACAUACCGCAGUAGCUCCAACCACAUAGCUCAGUAGCUCUGACCACACACCACCAGUAGCUCCGACCACGCACUACCCGUAUACUCCGACCAAACACCACUAGUACGCGACCACAAUCACCACCAAUCAACCACCAGUGCGUGCUUCGACCACCAAUUCUCCGACUAGAAAUCAGCUUCUCCACUGCUCAGACAACCAAUUUAAUUUCAUCUCACAAUUUGCAUUUCAAUUUUUGAGAAAAUUUGGGUUUUCUUUUUUAAUUUGGUGAUUUUAAGAAUUUGAGCAACAAAGGGAACUUAGGGAAAGAGGUUUGCCGUCAAGAAAUGAGAACAAGCAUGAUGACUCUGUUACUAGGAAAGUCCUAUUUUUAGGAGAGACUAGCCAUGAUCACAUUAAUAAGGUCUGAUUAUUUUUAGCACCAGCAAACUCUUCUUGGAGGACACAGUUGGUGAUGGAUACUCCCUUUGUGCUUCAUUUGGUGAUCUAGAGUAUCAAUUCUACUUUUAAGAUUAGGUUAGUUCAAGGGUCAGAUUUAGACCAGAGGCUAAAGAACUCUCUUCUGUUGAGGAGGAUGAUUCACCAAUUGAUGCUCUAUUUGCCUCUUAUGAGUCGUGCAAAAAGAAGUUACUAGCUUAAAAAAAAGUCUCAUAAAAAAGUGAACAAUGCUCUGCAGGAAGAAGGGCUGAAAUCUCCUAAGAAUUGCUUACAGUAUUGCAAAGAGUGAUCGAGGAAAGUGCCCCUUACUUGUCAUGGCCAGGGUUGAGGUUGAAGAAAGAAGAAACAAUAUAUGUUUGAGGAAGGAUAAAGAUGUUGCUUAUCGUGCUGCACUAGAAGAUGAUCAAGAUAGAUAGUGCCAGAGGAUAGAAGAGAAAGAACACCUGAAGAGGGAAGCUGCUGAAGUUGAAAGGAAAAAAAGGAGGAAAAAGAGGCUAGGGAAAGAGCAGUACAUGAAGCUGCUGAAAGAGAAGCUGCUGAAAGUUAAAAUGCACAUGGAGAAACUGUUGUCAUUGGGCCCUGAACCUAAGAAGGGUCCUGAUGUUACACAGAUAAUCAUGUUGCUCUUGGUUUUUAUUCUACAACUUUGUUCUUCAAAAAAAAAAAUUAAUACAAAUUUUGGUGAAGCAGUUUGCUUUGGAAGACACGUUUACAAAUUUGUGCACGGACUACCCUUUUUUAUGAAUUUUGGUGAAAGACAUUUUUUUCAGCCAAGAUUAAAAUAUAAUUGUUCAAGCCUGAUCUUA